rnacentral:rRNA from 1 species
GACAGAGGGUGCAAACGUUGUUCGGAAUUACUGGGCGUAAAGCGAGUGUAGGCGGUCUGAAAAGUCGGAUGUGAAAGCCCCGGGCUCAACCCGGGAAGUGCAUUCGAAACUGCCAGGCUAGAGUGUCGGAGAGGUUGGUGGAAUUCUCGGUGUAGAGGUGAAAUUCGUAGAUAUCGAGAGGAACACCGGUGGCGAAGGCGGCCAACUGGACAGAUACUGACGCUGAGACACGAAAGCGUGGGUAGCAAACAGG